rnacentral:rRNA from 1 species
GACGAACGCUUGCGGCGUGCUUAACACAUGCAAGUCGAACGAAGUGGCGAACGGGUGAGUAACGCGUAAUCAACCUGCCCUUCAGAGGGGGACAACAGUUGGAAACGACUGCUAAUACCGCAUACUGAAGGAGGGGAUUGCGUCUGCUUAGCUAGUUGGAGGGGUAACGUCCCACAAAGGCGAUGAUCAGUAGCCGGUCUGAGAGGCUGAAAGGCCACAUUGGGAUUGAGACACGGAUCAGAUUCCUACGGGAGGCAGCAGGGGGGACUCUUCCGCAAUGGACGAAAGUCUGACGGAGCAAAGACGCGUGAGUGAUGACGGCCUUCGGGUUGUAAAGCUCUGUUAAUCGGGACGCGGUACCGGAAUAGAAAGCCACGGCUAACUACGUGCCAGCAGCCGCGGUAAUUC